rnacentral:rRNA from 1 species
GACGAACGCUGGCGGCGUGCCUAAUACAUGCAAGUCGAGCGCAGGAAGCGCGCGGAACCCUUCGGGGGGAAGCACGCGGAAUGAGCGGCGGACGGGUGAGUAACACGUAAGGAACCUGCCCCAGGGACUGGGAUAACUCCGAGAAAUCGGAGCUAAUACCGGAUCUGUCACGAGACCGCAUGGUCCCGUGAUGAAAGGCGCUCCGGCGUCACCUUGGGAUGGCCUUGCGGUGCAUUAGCUAGUUGGCGGGGUAACGGCCCACCAAGGCGACGAUGCAUAGCCGACCUGAGAGGGUGAUCGGCCACACUGGGACUGAGACACGGCCCAGACUCCUACGGGAGGCAGCAGUAGGGAAUCUUCCACAAUGGACGAAAGUCUGAUGGAGCAACGCCGCGUGUGCGAAGAAGGUUUUCGGAUUGUAAAGCACUGUUGUAAGGGAAGAAUAAAAUAUAGAGGAAAUGCUAUAGAGAUGACGGUACCUUACCAGAAAGCCACGGCUAACUACGUGCCAGCCGCCGCAGUAAGAC